UAAUGAUUAGAGGCAAUGGUGGAGCGACGAAUCGAGUCAGGACCGGAAGGUAGCAGCUAUAAGUCGUAAAACCAUGUGCCUUUUAAAUUUAUAGUUA
rnacentral:SRP_RNA from 1 species